rnacentral:rRNA from 1 species
AACGUAGGUGGCAAGCGUUAUCCGGAUUUACUGGGCGUAAAGGGUGUGCAGGCGGGCUGUCAAGUGGUGUAUGAAAGCCUCCAGCUUAACUGGGGAGGGUUAUGCCAGACUGACAGUCUUGAGGACGAGAGAGGGGCGUGGAAUUCCGGGUGUAGUGGUGAAAUGCGUAGAUAUCCGGAGGAACACCAAAGGCGAAGGCAGCUUUCUGGUGCGCACCUGACGCUGAUGGACGAAAGCCAGGGGAGCGAACGGG